rnacentral:rRNA from 1 species
GUCCACGCCGUAAACGAUGGAUACUAGCUGUUUGAACGCAAGUUUGAGUGGCUAAGCGAAAGUGAUAAGUAUCCCACCUGGGGAGUACGGGCGCAAGCCUGAAACUCAAAGGAAUUGACGGGGGCCCCGCACAAGCGGUGGAGCAUGUGGUUUAAUUCGAUGAUACGCGAGGAACCUUACCAGGGCUUAAAUGUAGAUUGACAGGUUUGGAAACAGAUUUUUCUUCGGACAAUUUACAAGGUGCUGCAUGGUUGUCGU